rnacentral:rRNA from 1 species
GACAGAGGGUGCAAACGUUGUUCGGAAUUACUGGGCGUAAAGCGCGUGUAGGCUGCUCGGAAAGUCGGAUGUGAAAGCCCUGGGCUCAACAUAGGAAGUGCAUUCGAAACUUCUGAGCUGGAGUGCUGGAGAGGAAGGCGGAAUUCUCGGUGUAGAGGUGAAAUUCGUAGAUAUCGAGAGGAACACCGGUGGCGAAGGCGGCCUUCUGGACAGUAACUGACGCUGAGACGCGAAAGCGUGGGGAGCAAACAGG